rnacentral:rRNA from 1 species
UACGUAGGGUGCGAGCGUUAAUCGGAAUUACUGGGCGUAAAGCGUGCGCAGGCGGUUCGUUGUGUCUGAUGUGAAAGCCCCGGGCUCAACCUGGGAAUGGCAUUGGAAACUGGCGAGCUAGAGUGUGGCAGAGGGGGGUGGAAUUCCGCGUAUAGCAGUGAAAUGCGUAGGGAUGCGGAGGAACACCGAUGGCGAAGGCAGCCCCCUGGGCUGACACUGACGCUCAGGCACGAAAGCGUGGGGAGCAAACAGG